UACGAAGGGGGCUAGCGUUGUUCGGAAUUAUUGGGCGUAAAGAGCUCGUAGGCGGUUUGUCGCGUCGACUGUGAAAACCUACAGCUUAACUGUGGGCUUGCAGUCGAUACGGGCAGACUUGAGUUCGGUAGGGGAGACUGGAAUUCCUGGUGUAGCGGUGAAAUGCGCAGAUAUCAGGAGGAACACCGGUGGCGAAGGCGGGUCUCUGGGCCGAUACUGACGCUGAGGAGCGAAAGCGUGGGGAGCGAACAGG
rnacentral:rRNA from 1 species